rnacentral:lncRNA from 1 species
CCCCCCCCCAUGUAUUAUGUAUUGUGAAAUUGUGUCUCUAUUGUCUUUCUUUAGCCCUCACCACCUGCCCUUCUAGGCAGAUCGGAGGAGGACUGAUCAGCCUCCAAUACCCUACCCUAUUUUUAUACUAUUAUAUACUUUGCUUCUUAUUAACAAUAUCUCUUUAUAGUAUCCCAUACCAUAACAUAAAUGUUCCCUCUUUCUUUCUUUUUCUUUUUUUUUUUUGGUACUGGGGAUCGAACUCAGGUCUUUGCACUUGCGCAGCAGGCGGUGAAACCACUGAGCUAAAUCCCCGGCCCUCCCUUUUUCUUCCUUAAGCAUAUUUUUUAAUUAUAAGUGCAUCAAAACAGCCCAGUUAUAAGGAGACUUUGUUUCCACUCUUUCCCUGCUAUAAACUAUUGCAAUAAAUAUUCACAUAUAGAUACCCAUUCAUUCAUUUACAAGUACAUCUGUUUGAUGAAUUCUGACAAAAAGCAUUUGCUGGUCAAAAGUAUGUAUAGGACUCUCUAAAGUUUUGUGUGAUGGUUGUACUAAUGUUCAGCCCCCAGCAAUGCAUAAGGGUACCUAUCUCUGCCACACUGUCACCCACAAAAGCAUUUCUAAACUCUUUGAUCCUUGCCAAUUGGAUAGGGAAGUGUACCUGCACUCAUGCUUUCAAUGUGUGCCCCAGGUUAAACUGAAAGCAUCUUAGCAGACAGGUGGCAAGUGAAGUGCCUUUAGUGGGCACAUGGUAUCACUGAGUCAGAGUAUUUCAUUGUCUCCUAAAGCUUGGCCCUCAUCACCCACACCCAGGGGCCCAGUUUCACAGAUAACAUUGAACAUAGAUACCUUCAUACAGACUUAAAUAUUACUUUAUUAAUGUUAUGCCCAGAUCGCGAAGUCCCAAAGACCACCAGGAAGUUGAUUCCGAUGUAAGCACACGAGGGCUGUUUAUUCAAGCUGGAGCAGGGGCUCCCAACCAUCACCAACACAGCGGAUCAGAAUUGAGAGCCCCGAAUUUCAAAUUAGCUGGGUUUUUAUUGUGGUUACAGCAAGAGUGUGCCUGAAGUCAUUUUGCAAAACAACCAACCAAAAGGCCUUUGACGUCGGAGAGGAUGUAUGUGGGGCAGAAGAACUAACUACGAGAAUCCUGUGCUCACAACAUCUGCAGCUACAACUCGGAGACAUCAUACAGGCAUUUACUGGGUGUGAGCAAUCAGCAUGUUACAGGUCUGACUAGUUUGCAGCUCCAGUGGGCUGCCUGAGGGUUCGGAAGACAGGUUUCACAAAGAAAAAUCACUGUCACCUCAGCUUCAGACAACCACUAAAUUCUGCCUACGAAUCUUGUAGGAGGCGCUUCAUAUCCAUGGAGCAAAUGUGAGCAUAAAGAAAUGGUGUUGGGACAAACAGCCAUCUGUAAGUAAAGUUGGAAGUAUACCUCAUACUGUACCAAAACGAAUUUCUGAUAGAGAAAACAUAAAUGUUAAAAACUUUGAUCAGAAAAUAUAUAUAGCCCAGGGGUGAUGGUGCAUGCCCAUAAUCCCAAGCACUCUGGGAAACUGAGGCAUGAGAUCCCAAGUUUGAGCCCAGCCUGCACAAUUUGGUGAUUGUCACUCAUUCUACCACUAAGCUACACCCACCAUCCUCUGUGUGUGUGUGUGUGUGCGUGCCGCAGCGUGCCGCACGCGAGCGAGCGUGUGUGUGUGUGUGUGUGUGUGUGUGUGUGUGGUCUUGUUGUUGUUUUUAUUUUCUAGUACUGGUGUUGCAUCCAGGUUGAGCAGCCCACCAGGAUCAGAAACUCAGCAGCAAUAACAAAUUAAAGGGAUGGAGUUUAAGAAGGGAAGCCGAUUUAUUUGUAAGGAGGAAAAAAUAGAAGACACAAAGCUGCCAGGAUAGAGAGCAGGGGCUGCAGAUGAUAUGUGUGUGUCGUCGUGUGUGUCGGGGGGGUCCGCCCCUGCCCCAGCCCUGGUCCCAGGCUCCUUUUGUUAGGUCUGGGGACCCUUCCUUUCGGGUGGGUGGUAACCUGAUCAGUCUCUGGGCGGUCUUUGGGUGGACUCCAGGUCCCCAGAUCCUAACCUGGGUACUUUUGCCUGUGUGCACAAUCCUUUCGGUGGGCUUUCUUUCACUUCUUGCCCUGUUGUGAUCUGCAAGUUGUUGGGAAGGGAUCCUUUUAAGGUUAGUGACUAAGUAAAGGCGUGUGUGUAUAUCUAGUGCAGUAAUAUUGUGCCUCUACAGUGUUUUUAAAUACUAAAUAAAUUUUCUUGUAAAUUAGG